GAUUUUAUGAUAACGCCAGCCAGCCAGCCAGCCAGCCAUGAAAUUUACCAUCGGGUUUGAUCAAGGAAAUUCUACCGGUGUCGUCGCGGCGUGACUCAUAAACGACGUAAGUGUUGUCCACCAGAUUCAAUUCUGUGCUCGCGUCGUAUAACCUCUUGAUAGGCUCAUAGGCCGCAGCAGGCCCAUUGAUAAUUUCAGCCUGCGCAUUGAGCCUAAGCUUACAGACUCUGUCGGAACAAUAUUUAGAAUUUUCAAAGAAAACAUCGAAUGUACCAUCUUCGCCAAGAACGAAAGCAUUCUCGUAUCGUAUCAUGCUAUUGAACAGAGACUUGUGAUUUUCAAAAUCAAUCUUCGCCUCGGAUGUAUUGCAAUUAGGAAAAUGGACGAUUCUGAAUUUGAGUAAGUAGCGUGCCUUGCUGGUAUCUUCAUCGAUCCAUGCGACAACAGAUUUAUCCAUGGAUAUGGCGUGGAUAGCGAAACUGGUUGCUGCCAUGGUCUCUGUAAAUUCUAAGUUGCACGUUUUCUUUUCUCCCUUCUCGUCCACCUUUCCAUGCGUGACGUUGCAUUUCUUGGCAAGCCGUCCAGUUUCCGAUUUCCCCAGGUAGCGGUCGCAUGCGAUAUAACUCAUAAGAGAAUUAUGCAAGUCACCAGUAACGAUAGUAUUAUCAAAACUCUCUUUCAAGUCGUAUCUUGUCUUACUUUCAGCAGUUGCACGGCAUACCGAGGUGAGCGCGAGUAGCGCUAACGUUUUCGGAGCAAACAUCCUUCGAUACUAUAAAAAGUGAUUACAAAUAUUGAUAUCGGAACAUCGAAGCUUAUUUCAAAUUAUUAAAUUAUGGAUGGCAAGAUGCUGGCUCAAUUCGGAAGUAGACACUCAAAUUAGUUUGUGAUUAAUCAACUCAUUAUACUCGAGUAGAGGGAAAUCG